rnacentral:rRNA from 1 species
GGGAAGCUGAUCCCCUUCGGGGGUGACGCUUGUGGAAUGAGCGGCGGACGGGUGAGUAACACGUGGGCAACCUGCCUGUAAGACUGGGAUAACCCCGGGAAACCGGGGCUAAUACCGGAUAAUACUUUCUUUUGCAUAAAGGAAAGUUGAAAGGCGGCUUCGGCUGUCACUUACAGAUGGGCCCGCGGCGCAUUAGCUAGUUGGUGAGGUAACGGCUCACCAAGGCGACGAUGCGUAGCCGACCUGAGAGGGUGAUCGGCCACACUGGGACUGAGACACGGCCCAGACUCCUACGGGAGGCAGCAGUAGGGAAUCUUCCGCAAUGGACGAAAGUCUGACGGAGCAACGCCGCGUGAGUGAUGAAGGUUUUCGGAUCGUAAAACUCUGUUGUUAGGGAAGAACAAGUUGGGUAGUAACUGACCCAACCUUGACGGUACCUAACCAGAAAGCCACGGCUAACUACGUGCCAGCAGGGGCCCGGUAAUA